rnacentral:rRNA from 1 species
AGACAGGUGUCGUUGAUUAGAGAAGUGAAUAUGUUGGUAUAAGUAACGUAAAAACGGGUGAAAUUCCCGUUCGUCGAAAACCCAAGGGUUCCGUGAGAAAGGUUUAUCCACUCAGGGUUAGUCGAUCCCUAAGCCGAGGCCAAUUGGAGUAGGCGAUGGAAAGCAGGUUAAAUAUUCCUGCACCACUUUUAGCGUCUAAGUGAUGGGGUGACGCAGUAAGAUAAACUGACUUGGAUUAUGGUUACGCCAAGCUAAGCGUAAAGAGGGGUUUUGUAGGUAAAUCCGCAAAAUCAUUACCUUGAAACGUUAUGGGCAUGCCAAUCAUAGUGAGAGGCAUGUUCGGUUGAUUCUACACUGACUAGAAAAACCUCUAGCGAGCAAAAAAGUGAUCGUACCGUAAACCGACACAGGUGGGUGAGUCGAGAAGACUAAGACGUUGAGAUAACUCUCAUUCAGGAACUCGGCAAUCUAGCCCCGUAACUUCGGGAUAAGGGGUGCCAACGCUGUAGCUUUAGGUAAAACUAAGGUGGCGGAGGUUGGCUGCAACAAAGAGGUCCAAGCGACUGUUUAACAAAAACACAAGGCUAUGCAAACUCGUAAGAGGAAGUAUAUAGUCUGACGCCUGCCCAGUGCCGGAAGGUUAACAGGAGGUGUUAGCUCGUAAGAGCAAAGCACUGAAUCGAAGCCCCGGUAAACGGCGGCCGUAACUCUGACGGUCCUAAGGUAGCGAAGUCCCUUGUCGGGUAAGUUCCGACCCGCAUGAAUGGCGUAACGACUUGGACGCUGUCUUAAUGAGAGACUCAGUGAAUUUGUAGUUCCGGUGAAAAUGCCGGGCACCCGCGACAGGACGGAAAGACCCUGUGCACCUUUACUAUAACUUGACAUUGAUUUUUGGAUUACCAUGUGUAGGAUAGGCGGGAGACUUUGAAGUUGUGGCGUCAGCUGCGAUGGAGUCAUCCUUGAAAUACCGCCCUUGUUGAUUUGAAAAUCUAACUUCUCAUCCGUUAACCGGAAGAAGGACAGUGUCUGGUGGGUAGUUUGACUGGGGUGGUCGCCUCCUAAAGAGUAACGGAGGCGUUCAAAGGUUCCCUCACGACGUAUAGAAAUCGUCGUAGUGAGCGCAAAAGCAAAAGGGAGCUUGACUGCGAGACAAACAAGUCGAGCAGGUGCGAAAGCAGGAUUUAGUGAUCCAGUGGUUCCAUAUGGAAGGGCCAUUGCUAAACGGAUAAAAGGUACGCCGGGGAUAACAGGCUGAUCUCCUCUAAGAGUCCACAUCGACGAGGAGGUUUGGCACCUCGAUGUCGGCUCAUCG